rnacentral:rRNA from 1 species
ACGCUGGCGGCGUGCCUAAUACAUGCAAGUAGAACGCUGAAAGAGGAGCUUGCUUCUCUGGAUGAGUUGCGAACGGGUGAGUAACGCGUAGGUAACCUGCCUGGUAGCGGGGGAUAACUAUUGGAAACGAUAGCUAAUACCGCAUAAGAGUAGAUGUUGCAUGACAUUUGCUUAAAAGGUGCAAUUGCAUCACUACCAGAUGGACCUGCGUUGUAUUAGCUAGUUGGUGGGGCAACGGCUCACCAAGGCGACGAUACAUAGCCGACCUGAGAGGGUGAUCGGCCACACUGGGACUGAGACACGGCCCGGACUCCUACGGGAGGCAGCAGUAGGGAAUCUUCGGCAAUGGACGGAAGUCUGACCGAGCAACGCCGCGUGAGUGAAGAAGGUUUUCGGAUCGUAAAGCUCUGUUGUAAGAGAAGAACGAGUGUGAGAGUGGAAAGUUCACACUGUGACGGUAUCUUACCAGAAAGGGACGGCUAACUACGUGCCAGCAGCCGCGGUAAUACGUAGGUCCCGAGCGUUGUCCGGAUUUAUUGGGCGUAAAGCGAGCGCAGGCGGUUAGAUAAGUCUGAAGUUAAAGGCUGUGGCUUAACCAUAGUACGCUUUGGAAACUGUUUAACUUGAGUGCAAGAGGGGAGAGUGGAAUCCCAUGUGUAGCGGUGAAAUGCGUAGAUAUAUGGAGGAACACCGGUGGCGAAAGCGGCUCUCUGGCUUGUAACUGACGCUGAGGCUCGAAAGCGUGGGGAGCAAAGCAGAUUAGAUACCCUGGUAGUCCACGCCGUAAACGAUGAGUGCUAGGUGUUAGACCCUUUCCGGGGUUUAGUGCCGCAGCUAACGCAUUAAGCACUCCGCCUGGGGAGUACGACCGCAAGGUUGAAACUCAAAGGAAUUGACGGGGGCCCG